UAUGCAAAUAAAUAAAAAAAAAAAACUACCUAUUAACGUGUACGAAUUGUUUCAUUUUUUCUCCUCUCAACCUUGAACAAAAAUUUACCAGAUCGAUUUCUGUCGCAUAAGAAGUUAUAUUUAGCGAUGGAAAGUGAUAGCCGUUCGAGACGACAGGAGGGGAGGGGAAUCAGAUAAGGAACCGUCGCCUAAAAAUUAUACAAAAGGCAGAUUCCUUAUCGCAUUUAUUGCUUCUACGAACUGAACCUAUACCAUCGAUGCUGACAUACGAUUAUUCAACGUUUAGCUUUCAAUGCGAAUGUCUCUCUCGAAUUGUGUGUGCUUUUAUUUGCGUCGCCAUCUUUUUCGGUAAAUAUUAUUUGAUUUUUUCUACACCAUACUAGCCUAAAGGCAUUUCAUGAACCUCUUUUCUUAAUUGCAGUGGUGUUUUUGUGCGACUAAUGCGGUAUUAUAUUUCGAUUGGAUUAAUUUAGAUUGAUGCAAAUUAUCCUGCUGUAAGUACCACGUUGUUAUUGUUUACCAUAUUUGAUUGGAAGCUACUAUUGCGAUACUCUUUCUAUCCAUAAUCUCUACGACCAUUUUAUAUAGCCUAUUUGAUUGAUUCGUGAAUAUCUUUCAGUUUUGGAUAUUAAUUCAGUGACUUUGGUCAGAUUGUGUUGCAGUGGAUUCAUCAUUAUAAUAAGCGAAUCUUGAUUUAAUUAUAAGUUGGAAGCUGAAUACGGUAAGCAAGCACACGAUAUACCUAUUUGUUCUACUCGAGACAAGGUUUUAAUCCGAAAAACUUAUUCACUAGCAUUGAUUCCGAUCGGUGUGUGUUUUCUACGGCUAUAUCUAUCUAUGCGUGAAAAUUGAAUUUAAAAGAAGUCAACGUGGUAUUUUGGCAACAGCCCAGCUGUGUGAUUUUAUUGGCGAUUUACGAUAUCAGCGAAGAAUAUUCAACGUUGUUGACGAUUAUUGGUUCGAUUAAUUCGGCGAAUUGUUGAUACGGUUUCUUCAACUUGAAUUCAACACGACCAGGCUAACCGGGAAUUAUUUCGAUACUGUUUAGAUCUGACUCUGACGACGCGGAUUUCUUUACCAGGUACCUAUUACUCUUUAUACGAUGAAUUUUCACAAUCUUAUUAAAUGGGAAGGAAACCGGUACUAUUUUUCGAAGAAAGAGAUU